GGCACAGAGUUUUGCAGCAGGAUCCAGCCCCCAAACUGCUGGUACCCAAAUAGGCCAAAUGACAGCAGCAUCAACCAGGGAGUCCCAAGAACCUGCUUUCCUGCUGCCCCAAAUUGCCCCUACGUUGUCCUCGUGGGUAGCAGAAAGGAAAACUGGGAGCUGCAAUUUAAGCCAUUGUGGGGCUACACACAGCCUGGGGUGGGGUGGGAUCACACUGUGCACAAAGAAACCCCUCAAAGGGUCCUCAUUCCAGGAGAGGACCAGAUCUGGUCCAUGGCCACCGGCCCCAUGGUUCCGCUUUCACCCUAAUGCUCCCAGAGCUGAUUUCACUUCUCCCCCAUCAGCCCCAGCCUCUUACUCUUUCCAUUUCCCUUUUCUUCUCUUCCCCUUUUGUUUCAUUGUCCUGCCCAUUCUCAAGCUCUCAGACCAGGGGACCCCACUGCCUUUGCUGCUCACAGCUCCACCCUUGGGGGCUGGCACAACCCAGCAGCAUUAGGAGGGGGCACAGGGGGAACCUCGUGGAGGUUGGUGGCACCAGGCUGCUCCCACUGACCCCUCCAUUCCCAGGGGGCUGCUGAGAUCUGCAGCCCUAGGCACAGUGUGUCUGUUCCAUGCAAAAUCUCAGAACCCAACAACUCUGAGUGAUUGAAGGGCUUUUGGCUCCCAUGUCCCAGUGCCUCCAGUUGGGAUGCACGGACCUGGGUGUGAUCAGGGCUGCUCAUGCCGCUUCUCUUUCUCCUCUAGUUCAUUGAUCAUUGUUUGUUUUUUUUUUGGUUCUUUGUUGGCCUUGUUUGGCUCCUCCUCCCCCCCUCCAUCCUAACAAGCCCAUAAAAAACCACAGGGGGCACAGUUCAAGCAUUGUCUCCCACAGUUCUGCUGGUGACCCCAACCUGAGCACUCAGGGACACUGACUCCUUCCCAACCCACAGCCCCCAUCACCCCGGGUCUCCUUGUGCAGGCACCCUGCUCUCACACCGCCAUUUCCGGCACAGAAUUAAGGCAAAAACAGGCAUUUCCUGGUCUGUGGUUCCGAGCUUUUGAGCUCACACCCGGAGCUUCUCCUUCCUUGGGCACAGAUCAGGGGCUUUCCUGGCUCAGCCUGGUGCCAGAUGCAGUACAGCUGCAGGAAAAGCACCAGCUCGCUUUGAAUGAAGGGUUUGUCCCCUGUAUCAGCAGGGUCAUGGGUGGUUCCACCUCAUUUCUGGCUUUCCUCUGUGCAUCCCAUGAGGUGAAGGGUUUCGUGAUGCUGCAGUUUGCUCUGCCGGGGGAGCAGCCUUGCAGGAGGAGGAGGUGGUUGGAUUCUGAAGCACUGUUGGACACUGCUUGAUCUCACUGCUCAAUGAGCCCCAGGGAUGGGUGAGGGGCUUGGGUGGAGUCCCCAUGGGAAGCAAAGCGCUGUGCAGGGCAGCAGUUGAAUUGCUCUGAGGUUUGGGCCAGUCCCUCCACCACCACUGGCCAAAGCAAGGGGUGAGAGCAGGGGUUUGACAACCACCUGCCUGGAUGGGCUGGAAUCAGACACCUCUCUGAGCCACUCCGUCCUCAAGCCAAGCAGAAGCAUCUUAAGCAUCACCUGGACCAGGCAUCCUGUACCCUUAGCAGCCACUCUGUGCACAGCCCCGUGCAUAGUGGCUGUAGAGGCCACCAGGACCCUCCUUGCAGCAGCAUGGGGACUGUCCCUGUAUGAGGAUGGGUGCACCCAGUGACCCUGGGAGCACUGAGCGUGGGGAGUGGCCCUGCAGCAGUUAUCACAAACUGUUGCUUGUUUUUCUUCAAAGCUCAGGUAUGAACCACCAGAAAUAACCCUGUGAGCUCCGGAUGCAGAGCAGCCCAAAGUGGCACCUUGAGAUAGGCAAGGGCAGAUGCAGCCAACACCUCUGAAACCACAGGAAGCCUCAAAGAAGAGCAGCACGAGGCGGUGCAUCACUACCAGCAGCCUGCUCCAAGGCACCAACAUCUGGGGAUGGGGCGUUGCCCCAGUGUUUUGGGGCUGGGACUGGGCAGGGAGUGGGAAUUCAGCCCCACAGCUCCUUGUGGAGACACAAAAUGUCACCAGGCACAGAGGGGACAGUGUGUGUCUCAUGGGAACAGUGUGGCAGUGGCCUUGCAGAGGUGACAGCUUCAAAUAAGUAUUACUGCAAGCAGGAUGCUGUGCUGCACCUCAGCCACUGUCCUUCAGUUCCUGGCUGGUGGGAAGUGAUGCUCGGGUACAGUGUCAUGCAGAGAUGUGCAGGGAGCAGAGCUGUGGGCUGGAGGAUGUGGCCACAGCCGUGCUGUGCAGUCGCUCGCUGUGUCUCUGAGCAUCAUCUUUGUUCUGAGAGCCUCCAUCGUCAUCUUCAUCCUCCAGAUCAACUUCCAGCUCUGGCCGCUGCCCUUGCAGCAGCCCCAGGGUGUGAGUUAAGGCCCUGAGCACCCAGUAUGUCCCCCCACCCAAGCACAGGGACACCCAGCAACCCUCACCCCACCCAUGUGCUCUGCCUGUGCCCUGAGCCCUGAAACCAGAAGUGCUGGUGGGAAGCUGGGUUGGGAGGAACACAGGGGUUCCCCUGCAGGCAUUGUGCUGAACUGAGCUCAGCACCUGCUGCCCUCCAUCCUGCUUGAGUCAGUGCUCCCAGCAUCAGCUCAGCACCAAUCCUUCACCAAUCCUUCUCCAAUCCUGCACCAAUCAUUCUCCAAUCCUGCACCAAUCCUGCACAGCAUCACCAGCUGCUCCCCUGCACUCAGCCCCAGCUCUGCUCCUUCUCCUCAAGCCUGGAUGUCUCUGUCCCCUCUCCACCAGGGACACAGUGACACCUCCAAGCAGCAGUGAGGGACCCAGCAUCAGCAAAGCAGCAUCACAGCUGGAGGGGGUGGCUGCCCAGGACUGAGGCUUUCCAAUGGAGAAAUAACACCGGGACCAGAAGCUGCACCUGGGAUCGUAGCUACUCCUUUAUUAUAAAUCAUGCCGUUACGUCGCUCCUCCUCAGAGUCCCAAGGUGAUGGGGCGCAAAUGACGAAGCCAACAGCCCUGCUCCCACCUUGCACCCCAAGGCAGCUCGUCUCCAUCCAGCA